rnacentral:rRNA from 1 species
ACUCAAAGGAAUAGACGGGGACCCACACAAGCGGUGGAGCAUGUGGUUCAAUUCGACAGUAAGCGAGGAACCUUACCAGGUCUUGACAUCUAGCGAACCCUCUGGAAACAGGGGGGUGCCCGCAAGGGAGCGCUAAGACAGGUGCUGCAUGGUUGUCGUCAGCUCGAGCCUUGAGGUGUGCGGUUAAGUCCGUGAUCGAGCGCAACCCUUGUCCUUAGUUAUAAUUUCUAAGGAGACUGCCGUGCCACAAGCCGGAGGAAGGUGGGGAUGACGUCAAAUCAGCAUGGCCCUUAUGACCUGGGCUACACACGUGCUACAAUGGUUGGGACAGAGGGAAGCAAGGGAGUAAUCCGGAGCAAAUCCCAAAAACCAAUCUCAGUUCGGAUUGAGGGCUGCAACUUGCCCUCAUGAAGUUGGAAUCGCUAGUAACCGUAUAUCAGCUAUGGUACGGUGAAUACGUUCCUGGGUCUUGUACACACCGCCCGU